UACGGAGGAUCCAAGCGUUAUCCGGAAUCAUUGGGUUUAAAGGGUCCGUAGGCGGUCAGGUAAGUCAGUGGUGAAAGCCCAUCGCUCAACGGUGGAACGGCCAUUGAUACUGUCUGACUUGAAUUAUUAGGAAGUAACUAGAAUAUGUAGUGUAGCGGUGAAAUGCUUAGAGAUUACAUGGAAUACCAAUUGCGAAGGCAGGUUACUACUAAUUGAUUGACGCUGAUGGACGAAAGCGUGGGUAGCGAACAGG
rnacentral:rRNA from 1 species